rnacentral:rRNA from 1 species
GACGAACGCUGGCGGCGUGCUUAACACAUGCAAGUCGAACGGUAAGGCCCUUCGGGGUACACGAGUGGCGAACGGGUGAGUAACACGUGGGUGAUCUGCCCUGCACUUCGGGAUAAGCCUGGGAAACUGGGUCUAAUACCGGAUAGGACUCCGGACUGCAUGGUCUGGGGUGGAAAGCUUUUGCGGUGUGGGGUGGGCCCGCGGCCUAUCAGCUUGUUGGUGGGGUGAUGGCCUACCAAGGCGACGACGGGUAGCCGGCCUGAGAGGGUGACCGGCCACACUGGGACUGAGAUACGGCCCAGACUCCUACGGGAGGCAGCAGUGGGGAAUAUUGCACAAUGGGCGCAAGCCUGAUGCAGCGACGCCGCGUGAGGGAUGACGGCCUUCGGGUUGUAAACCUCUUUCAGCAUCGACGAAGCGAAAGUGACGGUAGGUGCAGAAGAAGGACCGGCCAACUACGUGCCAGCAGCCGCUGUAA